rnacentral:sRNA from 1 species
GAAGCUAUCUAGAGGCCCACCAAGAGUCAUCUAAUUAGUAUAAACUCAGGUGUGGUUGAAAGGAAUACAUUAUGAGUAACAAAAAGCGCUUCUGUUAUUGAGGAAAACCUAAGGGUUUUAGGAGCUCUGCCAGGAAUCAAGGACAAAGACCAAAUAUGUAGGAUGAAUUGGACAAGGAUGAGACUCGUGUAGGUGAGGACAGUUGGAAGGAUCAUGAUGUUGUAAUCUUGGAGUUAGGUGAAACAGGCAGUCCGUUGCCACUGGGCAGUAUAGAUAUGUUGUCCAGCCUGCCAUCACUGGACUGUAGUUAAGGUGGAUGUCUUGUCCGGUCUGCUGCCACUGGGCUGUAUGUAAGGAGGUUCUUCUGUCCACCCCACCGCUACUGGAUUCUUUCCCCUGUAGAUGGUCCUAGAACAAUUGGAGAUUCAUACGCACACAAAGAACCUCAACUCUUACCUCACACCAGACACAA